CUUGUUUCACUGAACGAUGGCAAAUGUCCGGAAAAAUCCUGUUUCCUUCACAAUCCUUCCAUCGUCAAAAAUAACCUUCAAACAAUGUAUUUAGUAGUUAAUUUUGCCAGGAUGGAUGAGUAAUGAAUUCACUGAGACCACCAUGGGGCUCUAGAACACAGUGACUUUUAGAUGAAGAUGACAGUAGAUAAUGAUAGAAUAUAAAUAUAAUGAUUUAGGUUCAGUAGACAGUCUCUCAGAUGAUGAAGUUGACCAACUGUAGCUGCUAAUCAGUUGAAUAUAAAUAACAAUGUAGAGCCUGUACAUGGGAUGACUGUACAUGUACACGCCAGGACCCUUUUAUAGGAAAGCCUGGCUUACAGUAUAACUUGGAUAUUUCUAAUCCAAUUGAAAUUUUUAAGCAGUUUGUCACUGAUGAUAUAAUACAUUUUAUGGUGGAACAAACCAACAGUUUUGCUCACCAAACAUUAGCUUUAGGUUCUGUAAAAGACAUUCAAUUGUGAGAAAUUGGCUCGACUGCACACCCUCAAAAAUGAGGAAGUUUCUGGAAAUAAUUAUUAUGGGACUCAGCUCUGCACCGCAAAUAAGACUUAAAUUGCAAAUGGUAUUUAUGAGAAGCCUAUCAUUAAAACUAUGACUAGAAAUCGCUUUGACAUUAUACUAAAAUGAUGGCACUUUCAUGAUAAUGAAGAUGAGUAUGGGGUGCAACUAAGGUUGAUAAAAAUCAAAGCCCUUGGUAAAAACAAAAAAAAAAACUAACGGUACAGAGCUGUUUUUUACUUUAUUUUUUUCUAUUCAUAAUACAUACAUACAGUAUGUAUUUACUUAUAUAGCCUAAUAACAAAUAGUAGGUAGCAACAGAGUGGCCUCCAAAUAAUAACAAAGUAACGGUUUAUGUUCCUAUGAAUCCAUAUCCCAAAGGGCAAUUCGUCAGAAUCUAAAGAUCAAGCACAAAAGGUUGUUAAAUACCUAGUUUCAGGUCUGAGUAUAGAAGGAAGAAUGUUAUACUGUGAUAACUUUUAUAGCAGUAUGCUGUUGCCAAAUAAAAAAAAAUACCUUUUAAUGUAAUAUUUAUCUCCUUGUAUAGAACACCAGAUAGUAAUAGUAACAUAUUUUUUACUUAUCUUGAAUAUUUACUACAUUUUAUUUGUAAUAGGAAACCCAAGAGUAAGAUUGUUCUGGGAGCAGAUUUUAAUAUAGAUUUUUCAAAAGUUAAUGAUGUUAAUACAGUUAUGCUCAUUAACUUACUUAAAUCUUUUAAUUUAUAUCAUGUCAAUGACACUCCAACUAGGUAUAAUAAUAUUAUUGAUAAUAUUGUUACAAAUCUAGAUAAAAACUGUUUUAGGUGCUGUCUGUGGAAUUACCAGAUUUCGGACCAUGAGAUGAUUCUGUUUAAUUUCUGUGUCCCAUCUGUAACCCCUAUGGUGAAACAGAUCUCCUUUCGAAGAGUAAAGGAAAAUAAUGUAAACUCAUUUGCUGAACAAUUAUCUCAGUUUGAUUGGUAUAGUCUGUUUGAAAUUACAGACACUAAUGCUGCUUUUGAAUACUUUAUAAAUAAUCUUAUGUGUUUAUACAAUUACUUUUGUCCAAUGAUUCAAAAGUCUGUUAAUUUACAAAAUAAAAAGAAAACUGGUAACUCCAAAUGGUUUGAUGAGUCUCUCCAUAACAUGAGAAAUAUUGUUAAUACCUUGGGGGAUAUGUUGAAAAUACCAGCUUAUAGGGACAAUGUAGCUUUAAGGAACUGCUAUAACUUGCAAAAGAAAAUGUACAGAGAAAGAAUUAAAGAAGCCAAAAUAAGGUGUAAUGAUACAUUUAUCAAUGAAGCCAAUAAUAAGUGCUUAGCUGCCUGGAAGGUUAUAAAAUUGGAAGCAGGAAAUCAUUUUAGUACUGAUGAUAAUCUGCCACAGAUAGCUCCAGAUAAAUUUAACGACCACUACAUUAAUAUUGGUAAGGAAAUACUUAGUAAGUAUCAGACCAACAAUAAUAAUAGUUUAAGACACAGUGUUUACCUUGCUAAUGCUAAAAGUUCACAGGUCAGUUUUAUUUUUAAAGAAAUAGACGAGAAACAAAUAUGUGCCAUAGUUAAAUCUUUAAAGCCAUCUAAGUGUGAGGAUAUAUAUGGCUUAUCCAAUAAAAUAGUGAAAUUCAUUGCUCCUCUUAUAAUCAAGCCCUUGACUUAUGUAAUUAAUCUUAGUUUGUCUUCCUCACGUUUUCCAAAUUGUUUAAAACUUUCAAAAAGUAUCCCCUUGUUUAAAAAGGGCGAUAGAUCCUGUGUAGAUAAUUAUAGAACAAUAACGAUUGUUUCGGUUUUUUCUAAAAUAUUAGAGACUUGUGUUAAAAAUAAGCUCAUGGAUUUCCUAGAUGUAAAUCAAAUCUUAUCAAAUAGCCAAUUUGGGUUUAGGCCGGGCUACUCAACAGUUAAGGCAUUAGACAAUGUUGUGUCUCAGAUAUUGACAAGUUUUGAGGAUCAUGAGUACUUGGGAUUGACCCUGUUGGACCUCAGCAAGGCUUUCGACAGUAUCUCUCAUGAUAUUUUAUUAAAUAAAUUGCAGUAUUAUGGAAUAUGUAAUGAUACCUUACAGUUCUUCAGAACUUAUUUGUGUGGUAGACUACAUAUGGUCAGUGUUGGUGGUCAAGAUUCGUCUGUAAAAGAAGUCCUUGCUGGGGUCCCUCAGGGCUCUGUCCUUGGCCCCCUCUUAUUUAUUUUGUAUGUCAAUGACUUACCAAUCAAUUUGAACUGUAAUACCGUAUUGUACGCGGAUGAUACAUCUAUAAUAGUAAAGGGCAACUGUGUACAUGAUGUUCUUAGUAACACUAAUAGAGUAAUCAAUACAGCUUCUAUGUGGUUUGAGUCUAAUCUCUUAAAAAUGAAUGAUAAUAAAACUGAAAACAUACUAUUCUCUCUAAGAAGUAUUGAAAUGCAAGACUCUAUAUUGAAACCGGUGAAGCUCUUAGGGAUAACUUUAGAUUCUAAGCUUAUCUGGCAUGAGCAUACAAAUAUUGUAAUUUCAAAGUUGUCAAGAGUUUGUUUUUUACUACGUAAACUAAAGAGCUGUGUUAGUAAUAAGUUACUUAAAAUUGCUUACUUUAGUUUUUUUCAUUCUCAUUUGUUGUAUGCUAACAUUUUAUGGGGUAAUAGUGUAGGUGCAGAAAGAGUUUUCCUGUGGCAGAAAAGAGCUAUAAGAAUUAUGUUUUGUCUAGGUUAUAGGGAUAGCUGUAAAUCAUAUUUUAUUAACAAUAAUAUAAUGACUCUUCCAUGCAUUUUUAUUUUUCAAAAUUUAAUUCAUGUACGAGAAAACGUAGAAGAUUUUACAAGUUUUAACAAUAUACAUAAUUAUCACACACGACAUGCUAAUGACUUAGUUUUGCCUACAAUGAGAUUAACCAAAUACAGCAAGAGUCAUAAAUAUUUGCAAAUCAAGCUCUUUAACAAGCUUCCCGAAAUGUUGAGGGUGUUAGAUUUACAAACUUUUAAAUCAAAAAUUUCCAAAUGGCUCAUCACUCAGGCCUUCUACUCUGUAAACGAGUUUCUGAAUUCAGAGGUAGCUAUUAAUGCUUAGCGUUUAUCCCAUCAUAUGAAAUGUCCAUACUUUUGUAGGCCAGUAUAUUUUACUGUGUUGUUUUUUGUUUUUUAACUGUACAUUAUUGUAAUAUGUAUUGUUUUUAUGACUGACUUUGUCAAUUCUGUAAAGAAAAAUGGCAAUAAAAAUGAUUCUGAUUCUGAUUCUGAUACCUUUCUGGAGACGGGUGAGGAACUCUUAAAGAUUUCAUUAAGGGAAAAAUAAAAAAGAAGAGUUACAUGUAAAGGAAAAUGGAAAUGGUGUUAAAAAAUCAAGUGGCAGGACAAACGGAGAGUACUGAUAAUAUUCACUUGCGCUGAAGACUCUGCAAAUAUAGUACCUACAGGAAAGAGAAAUAGAGCUGGAGAGCCAAUUUUGAAACCUACAUUAGUUAUGGAUUACAACCUAGCCAAGAAAGGAGUAGAUUUGUUUUGAUCACCUCUCAUGUGACUAUACACUACUCUGGAAGACCACAAAGUUGCAUAAGACUGUUGCAGUGGAACCGUUGCUGGGAACAAGGGUUAUUAAGGAACACUCUUGUUAUUUAAAAGAAGCAGAAAAUGAUCAAGUUCAGAGGAGUGCUACUGCGAGAACUAAUCAAAGCUGAAGACACCUCUGCUCCUGUUCCUCCAUUACUGCUUCAACAAACAGGUCGAAAGAGACCAGUACCAAAACAUAAACUGUUGAAAAGGGAAGGACCAGCACGGAAAAGUAGAAAGAGGUGUGUUCAGUGCUAUCAAGAGAAAGUCCUUGAAGUAGGAACCAAAGAGGCAAGAAACAAAACCAAAAAAGUUAACACCUUUUGCAGUGGCUGCCCAAAUGAGCCAAAUAUGUGUUUGGGGUGUUUCAACAAAAAACACUAAACUUGUUUAUAUUUAUAACCUUUUGUUCAGUAAAUAAAAUGUAUCUUAUGUA